rfam:Lupinus angustifolius cultivar Tanjil contig_51908, whole genome shotgun sequence.
GUUGUCGACAGCUCGUGCCGUAAGGUGUUGGGUUAAGUCCCACAACGAGCGCAACCCUUGUGUUUAUUUGCCAAUGUCGAGUUUGGAACCCUAAGCAGAUUGUCGGUGAUAAGUCAGAGGAAGUUCCAAUUAGAGUCAAUU